rnacentral:rRNA from 1 species
CCUACGGGCGGCUGCAGUGGGGAAUAUUGGACAAUGGGGUCAACCCUGAUCCAGCCAUGCCGCGUGUGUGAAGAAGGCCCUCGGGUUGUAAAGCACUUUCAGUGAGGAAGAACGCCUGGUGGUUAAUACCCAUCAGGAAAGACAUCACUCACAGAAGAAGCACCGGCUAACUCCGUGCCAGCAGCCGCGGUAAUACGGAGGGUGCGAGCGUUAAUCGGAAUUACUGGGCGUAAAGCGCGCGUAGGUGGCUUGAUAAGCCGGUUGUGAAAGCCCCGGGCUCAACCUGGGAACGGCAUCCGGAACUGUCAAGCUAGAGUGCAGGAGAGGAAGGUAGAAUUCCCGGUGUAGCGGUGAAAUGCGUAGAGAUCGGGAGGAAUACCAGUGGCGAAGGCGGCCUUCUGGACUGACACUGACACUGAGGUGCGAAAGCGUGGGUAGCAAACAGGAUUAGAUACCCCUGUAGUC